CUCUAGGAAAUACUUGCUCCUGUCUGGUACAGAAAUUUCACCCAAUUUACACAGGCCAGGCCCUCUUCUCUGAAUAACUUAACAGGUGAGGUCAACAUGCAUUUAUUCAGUGCCUGCUGUGUGCUUUUAUAAAAUAAAAGCUGUAUCAUGUUAUAGUGUGGCAGAGAAUAGUGGGAACAGACAUCAACAAGGAAUGUAUAUAAAAGAACUUUAAAGCCGGGAGUCCCAGCUGUGACAGACCAAUCUCCAAUUCAUUAAGACCCUAACCCUCAGGCUCCUUUCAAGCUGAACUCAUGCUUAAUUUAAAGGAAAAUAUUCGUGCCAAAGUUUCCAGGAAAUGGAAACUGGAGACUUUUUCAGGUCCUCUAAAUUCUCAAUCAUUCCCCACAUGAAUUGUCACAGAAACAAAGGGCAAGAGACCACUUUACCUCUUGUGGAUUUACUGCAGUUAAGACAGAAACUUCAUAUGAUUGCCUCCCUGACUGCAUGGUCACCAGGUGAUGUGUCACAUCAGGCACUGAAGACAGGGAACGUGGGGAUCCUUCAGCAAGCACCUCUGUGAAGCAACAGAAAAAUGUUUCAAUGAAAAGUGAAUCCAGAGAUACACCUAUCUGGAUCAUUAAGCCUCUCAUUAACAACUCUAAAACUCUAUUCCUCUAUUUCCCACAUUCCUCUAUUUCUUCCAAGUUAAUCCUGUCUGAUAAGCAUUAUCAGUGAAUUUGGAAAGUAAUAUAAAAAGAGAAUAGAAAGGCAAGAAAUCUUAAUACAGGAUUUAGAAUAAUAUGGUGUUAGCACUUUUAACUGAAUUAAAACUAUGUAUGAAACAGGCAAAAGUCUUAGGCAAGCAGGUAAGGGAACCAAAGCCACCCUUAAAAGCAGUCGCCAAUGAUACUAAUAGCACUUACUAACUGAAUAUGAUAUGAGUAACAAAAACAUAGGGUCUCACAGUUACUAAAUGUUCAUCAGUGGGAUCACCAUGAAAAUCUUCUGGAAAUAGUUUAUGGAUAUACCACUUAGCCCUCAAAAAACUAGAAGUUUCUUCUAGGGGUUUUCUAGAUUAUACAACUAUUUUAUGCUGUACCAUAUAAUUUAAUGUUGGCUUAUAUACUAUCUUUUAUGUACUCAAUGUUCUUUCCCAUAUAUAUGUAAGCUUUCACUUCUCAAC
rnacentral:lncRNA from 1 species